UACGGAGGGGGCUAGCGUUGUUCGGAAUUACUGGGCGUAAAGCGCACGUAGGCGGCUUUUGUAAGUUAGAGGUGAAAGCCCGGGGCUCAACUCCGGAAUUGCCUUUUAAGACUGCAUCGCUAGAAUUGUGGAGAGGUAAGUGGAAUUCCGAGUGUAGAGGUGAAAUUCGUAGAUAUUCGGAAGAACACCAGUGGCGAAGGCGACUUACUGGACACAUAUUGACGCUGAGGUGCGAAAGCGUGGGGAGCAAACAGG
rnacentral:rRNA from 1 species